rnacentral:snoRNA from 1 species
AUGUCAAAGCUAGGGCAUUUUUUGAAAAAAUUCUUAAACCUCUCCCAUUCCUCCGGAUAGCUCUCGAGAUCUUUCUACUUAAAGGUGUGGACAUCAUUCCUGAUUU